CGAGCCCUGCUGUGUUCGCGAGGAGAUUUUUAUCUUCUUGGGUCAAACCACUUUUACGGGAUUCCUAAUUUCAGUUGUUGAUUGCCAUCCGGCAAUGCCUGAAAGCAUGAUUCGCUGAUGCGGAAACCCACUUGAACUUUACGGUUCAAGAGGAUGUUCUCCGGACGGCGCGAGCGGGGUUUUU
rnacentral:other from 1 species